CCUACGGGCGGCACCAGUGGGGAAUAUUGCACAACGGGCGCAAGCCUGAUGCAGCCAUGCCGCGUGUAUGAAGAAGGCCUUAGGGUUGUAAAGUACUUUCAGUUGGGUGGAAGGCGUUGAUGCUAAUAUCAUCAACGAUUGACGUUACCAACAGAAGAAGCACCGGCUAACUCCGUGCCAGCAGCCGCGGUAAUACGGAGGGUGCAAGCGUAAUCGGAAUUACUGGGCGUAAAGCGCACGCAGGCGGUUGAUUAAGUUAGAUGUGAAAUCCCCGGGCUUAACCUGGGAAUGGCAUCUAAGACUGGUCAGCUAGAGUCUUGUAGAGGGGGGUAGAAUUCCAUGUGUAGCGGUGAAAUGCGUAGAGAUGUGGAGGAAUACCGGUGGCGAAGGCGGCCCCCUGGACAAAGACUGACGCUCAGGUGCGAAAGCGUGGGGAGCAAACAGGAUUAGAUACCCGGGUAGUC
rnacentral:rRNA from 1 species